rnacentral:rRNA from 1 species
UACAGAGGGUGCGAGCGUUAAUCGGAAUUACUGGGCGUAAAGCGUGCGUAGACGGUUAUUUAAGUCGGGUGUGAAAGCCCCGGGCUCAACCUGGGAAUUGCAUUCGAGACUGAAUAGCUAGGGUACGGUAGAGGGAAGUGGAAUUUCCGGUGUAGCGGUGAAAUGCGUAGAUAUCGGAAGGAACAUCAGUGGCGAAAGCGCUCUACUGGACCGCAACUGACACUCAGGGACGAAAGCUAGGGGAGCGAAUGGG